rnacentral:rRNA from 1 species
UACGAAGGGUGCAAACGUUGCUCGGAAUCAUUGGGCGUAAAGCGCACGUAGGCGGCUUCGCAAGUCGGAUGUGAAAUCCCUCGGCUCAACCAAGGACGUGCAUCCGAAACUGCGAAGCUUGAGUACAGAAGAGGAUCGCGGAAUUCCCGGUGUAGAGGUGAAAUUCGUAGAUAUCGGGAGGAACACCAGUGGCGAAGGCGGCGAUCUGGGCUGAUACUGACGCUGAGGUGCGAAAGCGUGGGGAGCAAGCAGG